GUAGGUGGCAAGCAUUGUCCGGAAUUAUUGGGCGUAAAGCGCGCGCAGGUGGUUCUUUAAGUCUGAUGUGAAAGCCCCCGGGCUCAACCGGGGAGGGUCAUUGGAAACUGGGGAACUUGAGUGCAGGAGAGGAAAGUGGAAUUCCACGUGUAGCGGUGAAAUGCGUAGAUAUGUGGAGGAACACCAGUGGCGAAGGCGACUUUCUGGCCUGUAACUGACACUGAGGCGCGAAAGCGUGGGGAGCAAACAGGAUUAGAUACCCUGGUAGUCCACGCCGUAAACGAUGAGUGCUAAGUGUUGGGGGGUUUCCGCCCCUCAGUGCUGCAGCUAACGCAUUAAGCACUCCGCCUGGGUAGUACGGUCGCAAAGACUG
rnacentral:rRNA from 1 species